GAAAUGAUGCUUUUAUGAGAUAGAGCUUUUUUAGAUAAUGCUUUUUUAGAUAAUGCUGGGGAAGGUUUUCCGGUUUAUCUCGGAGGGCUUGUAGCUCAGUUGGUUAGAGCGCGCGCUUGAUAAGCGUGAGGUCGGAGGUUCAAGUCCUCCCAGGCCCACCAAUUUACCUAUCCAUUUGCCUUUAUCCGUUUAUUUGCCGAUUUAUCGGUCCAUUGAAUUUAAGUGUUGGUAGCAGUUUUUAUAAUGAUGAGAAAUCAUGCUUAUAAAAAAACUCCUUAUAAAAGGCUUGUUUUUAAAAUGUGACGCUUAUCCAUUUCGCUUAGGCAAGAGAAACUUCAAGCGGUUCAAAUGCAAAAGGCUUUAAAUUUUGCAAAACAAUUUGAAUUUUAAAGUGAUCCAAGUUCGUGAUCUCGAAUUUGAAAGUUUCGAAUGCUUUAUCCUUUUUUGGGGGCCGUAGCUCAGCUGGGAGAGCACCUGCUUUGCAAG
rnacentral:misc_RNA from 1 species